GACGCACAGCGAAGGGUGCUUGCACCUUUCAAGUGAGUGGCGAACGGGUGAGUAACACGUGGACAACCUGCCUGAAGGCUGGGGAUAACAGUUGAAAACAGAUGCUAAUACCGAAUAAAACUUAGUGUCGCAUGACAAAAAGUUAAAAGGCGCUUCGGCGUCCCCUAGAGAUGGAACCGCGGUGCAUGAGUCAGUUGUUGGGAGAAAGGCCUACCAUGACGGUGAUGCAAAGCCGAGUUGAGACACUGAUCGGCCAUGUGUGGACUGAGUCACGGCCAAAAAUCAAUAAUGGGACGUCGCCCCCGCCUACCUCCCGUUUGUCACCAGAGCUUUAGAUAAAGUGCCCGUGUGAAUGAUGAAGGCGGGAGUACGACCGCAAGGUUGGAAACUCAAAGGAAUUGACGGGGACCCGCACAAGCGGUGGAGCAUGUGGUUUAAUUCGAAGCAACGCGAAGAACCUUACCAGGUCUUGACAUCCUUUGAAGCUUUAGAGAUAGAAGUGUUCUCUUCGGAGACAAAGUGACAGGUGGUGCAUGGUCGUCGUCAGCUCGUGUCGUGAGAUGUUGGGUUAAGUCCCGCAACGAGCGCAACCCUUAUUGUUAGUUGCCAGCAUUCAGAUGGGCACUCUAGCGAGACUGCCGGUGACAAACCGGAGGAAGGCGGGGACGACGUCAGAUCAUCAUGCCCCUUAUGACCUGGGCUACACACGUGCUACAAUGGCGUAUACAACGAGUUGCCAACCCGCGAGGGUGAGCUAAUCUCUUAAAGUACGUCUCAGUUCGGAUUGUAGUCUGCAACUCGACUACAUGAAGUCGGAAUCGCUAGUAAUCGCGGAUCAGCACGCCGCGGUGAAUACGUUCCCGGGUCUUGUACACACCGCCCGUCACACCAUGGGAGUUUGUAAUGCCCAAAGCCGGUGGCCUAACCUCUAGGAA
rnacentral:rRNA from 1 species